rnacentral:lncRNA from 1 species
AUCCUUCUUCUUCACAAACAAUACUGGUGCACCCCAAGGUGACACACUAGGUCGAAUAAAGCCUUUGUCAAGCAAUUCCUGUAACUGUACCUUCAGUUCUUUCAACUCAGCAGGAGCCAUCCUAUAAGGGGCUCUAGAAAUAGGAGUAGUGUCUGGCUCCAACUCAAUGGCAAAAUCAACCUCUCUAUGUGGCGGUAGUCCUGGAAGAUCUUUUGGAAACACAUCUGGGUAUUCUCUUACCACAGGUUCUGAAGUUAAAGAAGUCUCAUCUUCCCUAGUAUCCACCACACUUGCCAAAAUACUCCAAGUACCCUGGUUGAGCAGUUUACUAGCUUUCAUAGCUGAGAUUACUUUAGGCAGUACUACUGUUCCC